AGCUCUGAAGGUGUAUACCACCGUUGUUGCGUUUAAAACGCUCGUAGUUGGAUCUACGUCGUAGGAGUCGGUCCUCCCGCAAGGGAGGUACUGUCUACCUCGACUGAUGCAGCUGGUGUUCCCUUGGUCGGUUUAACUGCCAGCCUUGGGUGACUAGCAACUUUACUUUGAAAAAAUUAGAGUGCUCAAAACAGGCGCAAGCCUGAAUACUGGUGCAUGGAAUAAUGGAAUAGGAUCUUGGUCCUAUUUUGUUGGUUUUAAGGAACCACGAUAAUGAUUGAGAGGGACAGACGGGGGCAUUCGUAUUGCGGGGUUAGAGGUGAAAUUCUUGGAUCCUCGCAAGACGAACAACUGCGAAAGCAUUUGCCAAGAAUGUUUUCAUUA
rnacentral:rRNA from 1 species